rnacentral:rRNA from 1 species
UACGUAGGGUGCAAGCGUUAAUCGGAAUUACUGGGCGUAAAGCGUGCGCAGGCGGUUAUGCAAGACAGAAUGUGAAAUCCCCGGGCUCAACCUGGGAACUGCAUUUGUGACUGCAUGGCUGGAGUGCGGCAGAGGGGGAUGGAAUUCCGCGUGUAGCAGUGAAAUGCGUAGAUAUGCGGAGGAACACCGAUGGCGAAGGCAAUCCCCUGGGCCUGCACUGACGCUCAUGCACGAAAGCGUGGGGAGCAAACA